rnacentral:lncRNA from 1 species
CAUCAUAGAUAUCUUAUAUACACUAAAUAGCGCAUCUCUUUUAGUAAAACUGAAGCCAAGAAUAUUCCAGCGGUUACCCCCAUUUGAAUAGAUGGCGGCCAUGUUGGUCGUUCCCACUCGCUAAUAAACACUUAAAAACAACAAUAACUUUCAUAAUUUUAAUACUUUAAAAAUGUAUUUGGAAUAGGGUUAACUUAAUAUUUAAUUCCCUGUUUAAGAAAUAGGAAAUAUACGAAUCUUCUCAUUUCAUGGGAACGACCUGAGACUGCAAUCACGGCUUCAAUUUUUGAAUUGCAGAAUAAUUAGAUGCACUAUCUAGUGUAUAUAAGAU